AGCAGCAUGACGUUGUUGAAGUGUAGAGGCUUCAUAACCCUGAGGUCACUGGAUCGAAACUAGUUGCUGCUA
rnacentral:tRNA from 1 species